UUGAACUUUACCUGUUUAAGGGGCACUAGCUGCCAAAUUCAUGUUCUUCAUCGAUUUUAAUAAAAUUCACAUAACGGGUAUAUAGUGUUGAAUAGUUUAUUAAAAUGUUACGCACACUCUUGGCUGAUAUGCAUAAAACCAUUAUAUUUCAUGACACUGCAUGAAAAAGAAAAUUGACUUAUCCUGAGACUACUAUAACACUGUUAUAGUAGUCUCAGACUUAUCGUAUAAUACCAGAACCAGAGACAUAUAUAUUGUAUCUAAUAUCUCUGCCAGAACUGAAAAAUAAACUACAUAGUCCACAUAAGAGGGUAUGGAUGUGAAUUAACAGAAUAGACAACAAAGGACAAAGAAAAAAAAGGAAUAAAGAAUAGUGAAAGAAAGAGAAUAAUGGAAAAAAGUGUUGUCAGCAAGAUGAAAAGGACAAGUAUGCAGUUCAAAAUUCAAAAUGUGGAUAAGCUGAGGUUCAAGGUCUUACCUUUGCAGAUUUUUCAUAUUUUGCAUGAAUGAAUUCAAAGGUUAUAUGAUGGACGGCAGAGAAAGAAAAAAAAACUUUUCAAUUAUCCUGCUCCUGGAUAAAUGUAAAACAUCUUGUUUUUUGGACAAGAACUAUAGAAGAUACAGAGAAAUUAUAAACAGCAGAAAUGAUAGGCAAUUUAAAAUUUGCAGAAGCAAACUAAACCUAAAUGGUGAUCAGACAUCUUGGUUUUCAUGAUCAAUAGGUCAUUACUGAAGAGGAAACUUAAAGUUGAAAUUUAUUUACAAAGUGCAUAAUUGGAUUAAUUUGAACUGGAAAGUGUGCUUUCCUGCAAAAAAGAAACAGGAAAUUUCAUCAUUAUCACAUGAUAAUGCCCAUAAACAAAAUGGAGUUCUAUCAUAGAUACACAAAAACACUAUUGCAUAAAAGCAACAACAUAUUAUAUAUAUUAAUCGAAAGAAAGGAGAAUGCAGAACAAAUUCUAUUUUGUUGUUGAAAAAGGAACACCAGUUUUAUCCACUCAUUUACAUCGCUCCCUCAUAUCAAAUGUACGGAAGGAGAUCUUGAAGAACAAUUUGCAAAAAUGUUUUCUCUUAGAAUUGAAGGAAAAUGUUAAGUGAAUGGAAUAAUGUAUUCACUGAUUUCUUCCGUAGUGGAUUGAAUAACUGUAUACAAGUUGAAACAGAAGAAAAUUUUAAUUUAAAAUAACACGAAAAGUGUUUAUUUUAUUAUUUAAUCUGCAAACAUAUAAACAAAUUCUUUAGAACACCACAAAUGGUAUGACAUUCAAAUUGGUUGCUUAUUAAUGUAUUGCAUUGAAACAAUUACAAGGAAAACAGAAUCAUUUGCUACAAAAAAAAAUUAUAAAUCAAAGUUAAAUUUGAUAAAAAGUAUGAACAAUACCUAGAUCUAAACAGUCAGACUUUAUCAAUUUUCAAUGUCAUUAAAAAAUGUUGAGUCAAACAUUUAUGAAAGUUUUGAAUAUCAUUUGCAUCAACUAUACAGUCUUGUAAUAAUUAUAUAUAUUCAUACUGUUUAUAUGUAUACAUGGUAUAGCGAAGAAAUGUUUAACAAGUAAAAAUAAGGGAAAACAUUUCCUUAAGGGAAAUUUGUUGUCUUGAAGGAAAUCUUUUUCCCUUGAAAAAACAAUUUCCCUUGAGGAAAAAAACAAUUUCCCUUUGAGGAAAAAUCUUUUUCCUCUAUGGAAAUUUGAUUUCCCUUGAGGAAAACUACUUUUCCUUUAAGGAAAUUGUUGAAAAAAGGGGCAUAACUUUUUCAACAGUGGUGCUAGAGCCAAAAAAUUAGGACAAAUAUCAGGGAACCAAUACCAACCAAGUUAUCAACUUCAUUUU